rfam:Monodelphis domestica chromosome 1, whole genome shotgun sequence.
AAUCUGGUGUUUUUCAACACCACCUAGAUAAGGAAUGACAGGAAG